AUUUUUAAUAUUACAUAUUACAUUUGAAUGUUCUUAAAACCAGGAAAACAACAAACAAAACAAUUAUGACAUACCAGAAAGGGGCAUUCAGUGCACAGCAUAUAUUCUCAAAUAUAAAUAAUCCUCUACUCCCAGAAAAAUAAUUCCUAAGAUUUUUGUCUAAAGUCAAUUAUGGUGUUAUUAAGUAAAAUUGUAUAUACACUUCUAAUUUCUUCCAUUUAAAAACAUUUCAUAUUAAAAGUAAUAAUCAACUAAACUCUGUAAUACAGGGGUAAGCCAAUAAUAAAAAGGCCCAGUUUAGGAUGAAAUUCACUGUUUUUUGUGGUGAUUUGGAAAUUCCCAAUUAAUGAAGUUGAUGAAAAAUUAAGUGGUAGACUUUAAUUGCUGGAGAGAUAACUNGCCCGCCAUUGCAGAGAGGGGAAGUCACCAAAGUUCGGCCAAAGAGAUUCCUUCCCAGCGGAAUCUACUUUAGCAGGUGUGUGACUCCCACCCGCAUCAGAUACAAACAACCGGGAAACUUCAAAAUCUCUCCGUGGGCAUGACUGUAAGGGCCAAAGGACUCUCGACCCCCAACUCCCAAUACUGCCAGUGACGUGGGCGUGACUGUAGGGGCGGAGGGAAGCAGAGAAGACUCCCCACCCCCAACUCCCCCAACCGCCAACUGAGAGGGCGUGACAGUAGGGGCGGAGGGAAACAGAGGACACUCCAGACCCCCAACUCCUCCUACUGCCAGCGGAGUGGUCGUGAUUGUAGGGGCUGAGGGAAGCAGAUGGGAUCCUCGACCCCCAACUCCCAUUACCACCAGUGGCGACACCAAUGGUCUUAGCCGCCAGACUCCGAAGGUGUGCCCACCAAAGGGGUCCGGAAAAAUUAAACUAUUGACUCCCAGAACACAGCUCNGUGACAGCCUCCAGCUGUUGGCCCUUUUUGAAAAUUGCUUUUGGCUGAAGAGAGCUGCCUUCUCUCAGCAUGUGACAACCUUGAAGGACCAUGGGCAUUUUAGAGCACUUAAUAGGGUCACUGAGGCCUGUUGUGAGUGGAUGUUUAACUCCCUUUGCCCAACUCUGCUUUCACUGUACUCAGCUGUUGAUUCCAGAGCACUCCCCACUACAAUUCCUGCAUUCUUGAGUCUGCUUCUCAGAGAACUUGACAUACUGCAAAUUCAAAGUUCUACUUUUAUCAUUUAUGUGAAUGUAUGUGGUCUCUGACUUACAUGAUUCAAAUUAUUUUUCAACUUUACAGUUGUGUAAAAGCAAGAUGCAUUCAGUAGAAACAGUAUUUUGAAUUUUGAUCUUUUCCUGGGCUAGCAAUAUGAGCAUGACACUCUUCGUGAGAUGUUAGGUGCUGGCAGCGAGCCACACUUCUCAGUCACGCAAUUAUGAGGGUUAACAAUAGUGUGCUGUUGUUAAACUCUGAUGUUAUGUAGGUUUAAGUGUACUAAAUGCAUUUUUUUUCACUUGCAUAAGGUAUUCUGUAUUUACAUUGAACUUGUUAGGAUAUAACCAUGGUAAGUUGAGAAGUAUCUGUCUAUUGGGUAGUCAUGUAAGAUUUCACUUAAAGUAAACAAAAUACCUUUGAAAGCCAUUGGUUUCACGAUUAAACAAAUGCUUCACCUAAUACGAAAAAUUAUCAUAUUAACCAUGUUUUAUGGAAGACCAAUUUAUUUUAGUUCAUCUUUUAAACCAAUAUCCAGGGAGCAUGUUUCCAUUUUGUAAUUGUUUCUUCUUAACUUUAUUAAUGUCAUAUUUAUAAACAUUAUAAACAUAAUCUACACCUCUUAAAAUAGAAAAGUGCAUUAAAUAAUAAAAUCAUCACUAUUUUUAAUAUUACAUAUUACAUUUGAAUGUUCUUAAAACCAGGAAAACAACAAACAAAACAAUUAUGACAUACCAGAAAGGGGCAUUCAGUGCACAGCAUAUAUUCUCAAAUAUAAAUAAUCCUCUACUCCCAGAAAAAUAAUUCCUAAGAUUUUUGUCUAAAGUCAAUUAUGGUGUUAUUAAGUAAAAUUGUAUAUACACUUCUAAUUUCUUCCAUUUAAAAACAUUUCAUAUUAAAAGUAAUAAUCAACUAAACUCUGUAAUACAGGGGUAAGCCAAUAAUAAAAAGGCCCAGUUUAGGAUGAAAGUCACUGUUUUUUGUGGUGAUUUGGAAAUUCCCAAUUAAUGAAGUUGAUGAAAAAUUAAGUGGUAGACUUUAAUUGCUGGAGAGAUAACUUGAACUUUGUAGGUAUUUGAAUGCUAAUGUUCUGGAUUUUCAUUUGCUUCAUCAGAAUUCACUCAAUAAUUCUAACUUAUACAAUAGUCAAGGCAACAGAAAAGAAAUACAGCUUGGAGGCAGAGGCUGAUCUUGAUUUUCCUAAUUCUCUAUUGCCUGAGAAGCCAUCUACACACAUCAGGCCUUGGCUUUGUACUUCAGCAAUGGAGAUGAGGAAAGCACACAUAUCUAGUCAAUCUCAGGUGUGCUGUUGCUUUGGUCAUUUCAAACUCGAUGUGACAGCAAUUAACAGAUUAGGACAUGCUAUAGGUAGUCAAAAGAGAUACUCAGAAUGCAGGGUUGUAAAAGAGUCUUAUUUAUUAGAAAUAAUAACAAAGUACUUUUAUACACAUGUUAUGUAACAUAUAAAGUCUGGGCUAUUAGGCUCCAGGGUAAUAGUGAAUUUAUUAUAGAACCUAAAAUACCAAGCUUAAAUACUUAAGAAUUCCUGCUUACAGCUAGAGUUAUUUUUUUUAAUUUAAGUUUAGUAGAUAAAGGUCUAUUGAAAAAUACUGCAAAAAUAUGAAAUUUCAAUAGCAUCAGUGACCAUAUGUAUUGUAAAACUCUCUUUCUGGAGAAAUAGUGAAUUGACCUAGCCCAAUAACAAUACAUUUUCUCCUAAAAAAUGCAAGUGUAUAUAGCAAUACUGUAUACAUAUAUGCAAACAACAAUAUUCUUCCAUCAAAAAUGAAUAACCCUUAAAAAUUAUAAUGUAUACAGCAGACCACUCUAUGCACAAAAACUAUAUUUUGGAGUCAAAGAACAGUAAAGUACAACCAACUGUAGAUCUUCUUUGUUAAUGGACCAUGGGAAGAACAUUAAAACACAAAUAAACAAAGUUAGUUUAUUUAUUUGACAAAUAUUUUGAGCACAUAUCAUGUGCCAGGUGUUGUGUUUGGCACUGACAAUGCAAUUGUGGACAUGACAGGCAUGUUCUCUGCUCUUGUGAAAUCUAUUGUCUAAUGGAGGAAGCUGACAAAUAGGCUAUUACAAUAUAGCAUGAGAAGUGCUAAUAGGGAAAGUACUGAGUUCCACAUGAUGAGGAAGCAAACACAUAGAGAGAAACUAAAACUAGAUUUAAAGGAGUCAGAGUUUUCCUGGAGGACAUGCUGUCCAAGUUGAGGACUUAAGAGUAUGCAGAUAUAGGUCAUUCUGGUGAGGUUAAAGAAAGAAGGGAAAGUAUGUACAAAAUUUGGGAAGUAAGAAAGCAUGCCUCUUUCAAAACAUAAACAUUUCAUGAAGGGCUUGUAAAAUGUAUGAAGGAAUAAGACGUUUAUCAUAAUGGUAACAAGCUGCCAUUAAAAACAUUUAGGCUACGGAGAUUAGAGUUUUAUUUUAGAAACAUUACUGUAUGGGGCAGCGAGAAGGGUCCCCGCCUGGCCCGGCAGACGGCCCCCACCACCCUGGCUCUCCUGGCGGCCCCGCUCGCUCUGUGAUCAGCCACCCCGCCCGCCCGGCUCUUAGCCACGAGGCCGCUGCCUACCGGGUUCUACAAGCGGCCCCCGGCGGCCGGCGUGGAGAGAAGGGUCCCCGCCUGGCCUGGCAAACGGCCUGCGCCCUCCUGGCUCUGCUAACGCCCCGCCCGCACGGCUAAUGGCCCCCUGCCCGCGUGGCUCUGCAAACGGCCCUGCCCACCUGGCAAACGGCCCCCCGCCGCCCUCCGGGCUCUGCUGGCGCCCCGCCCGCAGCCAGUGCCCCAGGCUCUGCAGGCGGCCCCCAGCCGCCCUGCACAGC
rnacentral:lncRNA from 1 species